CAGCCAGGUAUUGCGGGCAAGCUAUCAAGUUCUCUCCUAAUUAGGUGCAGUCACAGUGAUGAAGACCCCGGCUCACCUUCUCAGGCUUAUCCUCUUUGACUUCCCAAAGGGCUGCUGCAGUGAGCAACUGAUGUGUCCUUCGCGCUGCAUCCUGCCCUCUCACUUUGCCAGAGGGUGCGCUGCCCACGGGGUGCUUGAGGAGUUUGUCUGGUGCUGCUUAGGACAGACUGUGUAUCCUUUGAACACAACCAUACUUAUAGAAAUGGACUGCCAUGUAUGUGGCCCCAGCCACUGAACAGAAAAUGUGCUUGCAAUUAACACAAGUGUAAGGGGAAACUCUUGAACUACUUACUGCAUUUUUGUGAAUCUCUGGAAAAGGGUGUGUCUGCAAGCGGCCGAGUUUUUCUUCUUCUGCCUCUUCCUUUAGCCUCUAUUAGUGUGUUUACUUCGUAGUGGUAGAAGUGCAGGAAACCAGUGUUUACUGUGUAGAAUCCUGAACUGGUUUCCAUUCUUAAUUUUCAUUUUUAUAGUGUUCCUAUAAACUGAAGUGAAUGAAAUGAAUUUUACCAUUUUCUCUCUGAGUUUUUUGAAAUCCCUCUGAAUUACGUGCCAAAAACAUAAGGCAAGGAAAAAUGCAAAGUUGUGUUCUGGGUUUGUGGAGCCUUCAUUAAAUGAGGCUUCCCGAACAUUAGUAUCUUAAAUUGCCCUACUUUUGGACACUCAGGUUUUUACUAUGGCAAAAAUUUAUGAUAGGUGAAGGAUUUUUUCUAUAAAUUGAGAAUCGGGAAGUAAGGAAGAACAAUAGAUUAAAAUUAAAUGACAACUUGGUCAGAGAUCAAUUUAGAGUAAGAAAACCACUUGCAAGUUAAGGUCUAAAAAUUCAUUUCCUUAUAAUUACCUGUACCUGUACAAUUUAGAGUCUUAUAUAUACAUAAUCCCUUUUGAAUGUAUCUAAUUUCAAUCCCUUGCAUUUUAUAAUGUGAGAAUCUUCUACAACUGAGAGAGACAAGUUAUGAUACAGUUUUGUAACAGAACUCCUACAUGCAAAUAUCUUGCUUUCUGUAAUACUCAAUGAAAAAGAAAAGUUAAGGGGGCUGGGGUUGGGGCUCAGCAGUAGAGCGCUUGCCUAGCAUGUGCAAGGGAUCCUUAGCACCACAUAAAAAGAAAGAAAGAAAGAAAAGUUAAAAGGAUAGGGUAUAACUCAGUGGUAGAGCACUUGCCUAGCAUGCACAAGGCUCAGGAUUCCAUCCAUAGCACUAAAAGAAGAAAAGCAGUUUUAUUAGCUGUUUUUUUUUAAUUAAAAAGACAAUUUCCCUUUAUGUAGAAGAUAAAACUAGCUGUGUUGGACUCUUUUUAUUUUUUAUUUGUUCUUUUUAGUUAUACAUGACAGUAGAAUAUAUUUUGACUUAUAAUACAUACAUGGAGUAUAACUUCCCAUUCUUGUGUAUGAUAUGGAGUUACACUGGCCGUGUAUUCAUAUAUGAACCUAGGAAACUUAUGCCUGAUUCAUUCUGUUGUCUUUCCCAUUCCCAACACCCUCUCUCCCCCAAACCAGUGAACCUCCACUACCCCCCCACACCUAAUGUGAGUCAACAUCCACAUAUCAGAACAUUAGGCCUUUAGUGUUUUGGAAUUGGCUUAUUUCACUUAGCAUGACAGUUUCCAGUUUCAUCCAUUCACUGGCAAAUGCUAUAAUUUCAUUCUUCUUUAUGGCUGAGUAACAUUCCAUUAUGUAUAUGUACCACAUUUUCUUGUUGAAGGGCACCUAGAUUGGUUCCAUAGCUUAGCUAUUGUGAAUUGAGUUGCUAUAAACAUUGAUGUGGCUGCAUCAAUGUAGUAUACUGAUUUUAAGUCCUUUGGGUAUAUGCUGAGGAGUGGGAUAACUGGGUCAAGUGGUGGUUACCAUUUCAAGUUUUCUGAGGCAUCUCCAUACUGCUUUCCAGAGUGGUUGCACCAAUUUGCAGUCCCACCAGCAAUGUAUGAAUGUACCUUCUUCCCCACAUCCUCACCAACAUUUAUUUGUAUUCUUGUUAAUUGCCAUAUUGACUGGAAUGAGAUGAUAUCUCAAUGUAGUUUUAAUUUGCAUUUUUCUAAUUACUUGUGAUGUUGAACAUUUUUAUUUGAACUUUUUUUUAUAUAUUUAUUGACCGAUUGUAUUUCUAGCGUGAACAAUUCAGUUCCCUUGCCCAUUUAUUGAUUG
rnacentral:lncRNA from 1 species